AGCAUUUACAAAGUAUGUCGGGUCCUACCGUCGUCAUGUGGUCAGUUUUUAUGCUGAGAAGAAUCAGUGUAAAGCUCAAAGAACGAGCUAUACGAGUGUUAAGCCUCUCGACAUUGAAAACGUAAAUGUGCAGAGAUGGUGCAGUAUUUGUGCGGAAUCUGUCUCCUAGGAUAUCUUAGGGUCUGCCUGUUCAUAUCAAUGUUCUUUGUUCGGGUCCUGCUUAGGUCAUUAACAACAUUACUAACCACUGUUAGCAAAUUUUUUAAGCAAUUUGUUUUUGCAGUGAAUACAAGGGGAUUCUAGUCAUGCGUUAGGGUCUUGACUCAUGACAUCAAUAAGAAUGCUGAUAAUGUGUCACUAUCAGGUGCCUAUACUACAACUCUUCCCGAAGAAAGGCAGAAAGAGAGACACACUAAUGACCUUAGCGGUAGCUUACUACAAGCUGCAACUCACAGAAGAGCAACUAUUAUGAAUAUCUUUGUAUAUCAACCAACAGUUCUUCAAACCAUACAGACAGAAUUGAGUUGCUGGGGAGUUUGUUCCACGGCUUCUGCUGCUGAUUUUCAGCCUAUUUUGAAUAAAUGACUUUAUCUGUAGCCUUAAUUUUAUGUAAAUAAACCUUUACCUCUGUGUAAAUGAUUGUCUCAUUUUAUUUUUUAUCUUAAGAGUUCUUGCUUAUAUCGCACAAGCAACAAAUAGGUACUAUAAUUAUUAUUGCCAUAAUUAUACUUUGAAAACAAAGCAUGAGAGUUUUGCUAGAAUGAAACCAACAAGUCUGGAGAACUAUUACUAGUAAAUGAAUAUUAUUUAAAGACACUUACUA